rnacentral:lncRNA from 1 species
AUUGUUCAGCCUCGAAUUGCCGCGGGCAUGUGACCAGGGUCUCCCGCGGAGUUUUGCUGAGAAUUUUGGAAAUGAAGCAUGUGGAGCGCCUGUGUCGGGGAAGAGAGGCCGAGCUGAAGGAGCACGGGCGCCGGCCUCGGCCUCUGGGGAGCCGGGCCCGCUCGCCUCCCUGCGCGGGGCUAGCCCGAGCCUGGAACUCGGGAGGCCCAGGAGCGAAGUGAAAGCCCCUUCUGGUCCCCCAGGGCUCCACUCCCGCAGCAGCCCGGCUCCGUCGGCGUCAGUGGAGCCCCAGGCCUGGGUCCGAGAUGAGCGAGACGCUGCUCUGGCUCGCGGUCGCCCGAGCGCUCCCAAAACCAGGGAACAGGCCCCAGGAGAGAAGCCCCUAGAAGUUUCCUGGAGCAGGGAGUCUCCUGUAUCCUGUUAGCUCUGCAAAGGAAUCUGGACUUUAUUCUGAGGGCCUUGGAGAACCCCUGCAAAGUUUUUUAAAAGGUGGGCUAAGAGAUUGGCAUUUCACAACAUGACUCUCCGAAUUGAAACACUAAUAAGAGAAGAUUGGCGAAAUUUAACAUUUACAGAUUAGUAAUUUAACCCAGGUGACUCGCGAUGAGGGACAUGGCUACCCUUCACUUUUGGAGGGAGUUUUAAGUGAUACAGAUCUUUUUG